rfam:Salmo salar isolate Sally breed double haploid chromosome ssa11, whole genome shotgun sequence.
UGGCUCAGUUGGUAGAGCAUGGUGUUUGCAACGCCAGGGUCGUGGGUUCAAUUCCCAC